GUGGCAAAAAGUAUAUGAUUAUCAAGUGAUGAAAGUACGAUCCAAGUGGUAAACUAAGUUCCAUCUGUGUAGAAUCUCUCGGUGAGAUUCUUAGUGUUUUAGAAUGAAAGUAGGAGCUCAGUCUUGGGGGUCUUCUUGACGCUCCAAUGGCCUUUCUUCUCAUGUAGAGAGAAUUGGAUCAUGUGGUGAGGAGUAGCAGGACGUCUAAGUCUUGAAGGCUUUCAUCAUGCUCCAGGGCGCGGAACAGACUAACC
rnacentral:lncRNA from 1 species